rnacentral:rRNA from 1 species
GCAAGUCGAACGCAGUAGCAAUACUGAGUGGCAAACGGGUGAGUAUAAUGUGGGAAUCUGCCUUUUGGUUUGGAAUAACACGGGGAAACUUGUGCUAAUACCGAAUAAGCCCUUACGGGGAAAGUUUUAACGCCGAAAGAUGAGCCCGCACUUGAUUAGCUAGUUGGUAAGGUAAAAGCUUACCAAGGCAACGAUCAAUAGCUGUUCUUAGAGGAAGACCAGCCACAUUGGGACUGAGACACGGCCCAGACUCCUACGGGAGGCAGCAGUGGGGAAUCUUGCACAAUGGGGGAAACCCUGAUGCAGCGAUGCCGCGUGAGUGAAGAAGGCCUUUGGGUUGUAAAACUCUUUCGUCGGGGAAGAAAAUGACUGUACCCGAAUAAGAAGGUCCGGCUAACUUCGUGCCAGCAGCCGCGGUAAUACGAAGGGACCUAGCGUAGUUCGGAAUUACUGGGCUUAAAGAGCUCGUAGGUGGUUAAAAAAGUUGAUUGUGAAAUCCCAAGGCUCAACCUUGGAACUGCCAUCAAAACUUUUUAGCUAGAGUGUGAUAGAGGUAAGUGGAAUUUCUAGUGUAGAGGUGAAAUUCGUAGAUAUUAGAAAGAACACCAAAUGCGAAGGCAACUUACUGGGUCACUACUGACACUGAGGAGCGAAAGCAUGGGUAGCGAAGAGGAUUAGAUACCCUCGUAGUCCAUGCCGUAAACGAUGUGUGCUAGACGUUGGAAAUAUAUUUUUCAGUGUCGCAGCGAAAGCAUUAAGCACACCGCCUGGGGAGUACGACCGCAAG